ensembl:lncRNA
GGGCUGUUGCUCUCCCCUCUUUCCUGCCGGCAAUGAUCCCUGGGUAGCGUUGCUGGAUUCAGGGGUGGGGGUCAAUAACAGCAGCCAGGUAGAAGCUCAUGAUGCUGCUGGCUUUAAAGACCGCCCUUCCUUAGUCCUCUGGAGGUGAGGAGAGGGGGAGAGGGGAGCUGGAGUCCAGCAGGUGCUUGGCUGAGUCCUUCUGCCUGUUUGGCUGCCCCUGGGAUUAACCCUGUGGCUGGGAUUACCCUUCCUCAGGCUGCUGUGGGAAGAGCACCUGUUAUAACCGGAAACUGAAGGUAAGAUUAUUCUGAUGCAGUUGGAGCAGGGAAGUUGGAUCAGGUGGUGGUGCUGGCGUUUGGCAGGUGUAUUAGCCAUGGCUUCUUAAUUGACAGUUAUAAACACCUACCUCCAACCAGCUUAAGCCAAAAGGAGGGUUUGCGGACUUCUAGAGGCAAACAAGGCAAUUCAGGAGUUGUGGCAGACGCUACCAGUUGUUUACCCACUGUGCGUUCCCUCAGUCUUCUCCAUGUGCACAGUUAAGAAGACUCAGCUCUCCAGACUCCCUGGAGAUAGGAGUGGCCUCACGGCCCUUUUCUGAACACUGAGGUGUAAGCAGAAGUGUACAGUGUGGGACUACUGGGAAUCCUGACCAAAGGGGACACACUUAGCUGGCUCAUGCUUUUCGUCCUUCUUGUCUGGAACAUGGGUAAGAUGCCCAGAGAGGCAGCAGUCAUCUUGGGAGAUGAGAAGGAGAGGCAGCUGACGAGGGUGCUGGGACGAAAAGGGAGGAGGAGGCUGGGGCUUUGCUGUCGUCAUGAAGCCAGCAGACCAGAUCUCGCCUGUGGCCUGAGAAAAAUAAACUCCUACUUGGGUGGAGAGGAUGGUUUCCCUGACUGGUGCCAACUGGGAGUCCUUCUGCGUAUGAGUCCACCUGAGCAGCUCUUGCCUGCCCUCUCCUGGGCACUGGUGGAUACAGCUAGCUGCUCUUCGGGAGCUGGAUAUAAACUGGUCACAGCCCGGCCUCACGAUAUGAAUUUGUCUUCUUAUAUUUGCCCCCCAAUCUCCUUUAAUUCCUUAAAAUCAGAAGAUUUUUUCUGAGCGACUACUGUGUGUCUCUGGUGAUAGCUAUGUGCAGAAAACACUCUGACUUUCCGCUGAUCGAGACAUUUUUCAUUGUGAGAUCUAAGUGCUACAUACAUGUCAGAACAUUAAUUUUUGUUAAUUUACAUGUCUAUCCUAUUUAUUUGUCUGAACUGAAGUCCUUUUAGUUUGUUUCAGCCAUCGAAGAGGUCAUGUGUUUGAACUUUAUAAAAAUGUAAGGCUUACAUAUUUAUAUUCCCCUGGAGAAUAGUUUUCCCAAGUAAUCACACACCCCAAUGCUUUUAUCAAAGUCCAGAAGUCUGCAAACGUGUUUUUAUUAUUCACAAUAGAAUCAAGGCAAUGCCCUAAUUAAUGAUUUUGCUAAGAGGUAAUUGCUGUUUAUAGGGAAUUCGGGCCUGUAGCAUGAAGCAGAAACCAUCCAUGGGGAUUUUGAUCUCAUAAAAUGAUGGAUACACAUCCCAGAAGAACACUGGACUGGUUUCUUGGCUUCACUGGAUUUAUUUUUUUCUGAGUCAGUGUUUUUUCUCCGGUCAAAGGCUAAAGCUUUACCUUCACAGAUAGGUUAGUGACUCUUAUUCAAAACCAGUGGAGGGGCCGGCCCGGUGGCUCAGUGGUUAAGUGUGCAUGUUCCGCUUUGGCAACCCCGGGUUCGCCAGUUCAGAUCUUAUUUCAUGUGCGGACAUGGCACUGCUUGGCAAGCCAUGCUGUGGUAGGCAUCCCGCAUAUAAAGUGGAGGAAGGCGGGCAUGGAUGUUAGCUCAGGGCCAGUCUUCCUCAGCAAAAAGAGGAGGAUUGGUGGCAGAUGUUAGCUCAGGGCUAGUCUUCCUCAAAAAAAAAAAAAAAAAAAAAAAGCAAAAGGCAAACAAAACAAAACCAGUAGACCCUGCAAUUUCUUCCCAGUGUCAAGUCCACGUCUUGUUUCCCUGGGUCCACAUUUGGAGUCCCUCCUUUCCCUCAUUCAUUCAAGUCCGGCCCAUCUCUCAAGAUUACUUCUAAUCUCUUUCCUUGGAGAGCCCUUCUCUGCAUCAUGAUUUCUCUCUCUUCUAAACAACAACUCUUCUGUAGUUGGUGCUAUUUAUUUAGCAAAUGUCAUGCAUUACUUUGUGACAUCUUUUUACUUUUAAAUGAAACAUUAUUUAUAAAUUUAUACUGUCACUUCACUUUACAGAAGUUUAUGUCCCAUGUCUUCCCUUGAAUAAUAAAAUCAUCAAUGCCAGAAACUGUAUCUUACACUUGGUUGUUUACCCCACAGAAUGUGCAACAUCUACUGCUGUAUAUUCAAUAGAUGAGCAGGAAGUGCUGUUGAUUGACGGGUUGUUGUGUCAUUUGCCUAUCCUAGCUCUAAUUAGUCUACUUUCCUGAGAACUAUUUACAAAAGACAGAUUGGCCCAGGCCAUCAUUAACACUUCCCUGAAAUGUUUUCAUGCAUUUAGAUGCUUUGCAAAAUGUAUUGCCCAAAUGGUGCUAUGUGUCUAUGUGUGCACACAACAAAGGGAAGCCAAAUUAAAAUCAUCCUUUUAAUUUAUUGUUGAUGCAUGUUCAUUUUAAAAUUUAGUUUUCAUUUUCAUCAAAGUUAUGCACUUAUAUAAUUUUAGGGAUUGUCCUACUCUGCUUGGGCUGCCAUAACAAAAUGCCAUAGACAGGGUGGCUUAAACAAUGACAUUUAUUUCUCACAGUUCUGGAGGCUGGGAAGUCCGAGAUGAAGGUGCCAGCAGAUUUGAAAGGUUCUCGGUGAUGUCUC